AGGACACACCAAGAGACUGAAGUACUCCAUGAAUUCACAGCCCAGACAGCAACAGUGCACACUUCCCUACACUGCCCUGUGGAUGUGCCUCGCUCUGCCCUGGAGGGACCAGGAGGAGCAAAGGCUCUAUGCAUAUUCAAUUGCUGAGCUCUCUAUUCAGCCAUUCU
rnacentral:sRNA from 1 species